UUUCGUCAGUCAAGAUAAUUUGGCAGCUCCUUAUGCCAUUUCUGCUUCAGAAAAUUCAUGAUCGAUGAGCUGAUCAACAAAUUUGAGACACAU